UACGUAGGGGGCUAGCGUUACUCGGAUUUACUGGGCGUAAAGCGAGUUAAGGCGGUCUUUCAAGUCAGAGGUGAAAUCCCUCAGCUCAACUGAGGAAUUGCCUUUGAUACUGAUAGGCUAGAGGUCAGGAGAGGAAAGUGGAAUUCCCGGUGUAGCGGUGGAAUGCGUAGAUAUCGGGAGGAACACCAGAGGCGAAGGCGGCUUUCUGGACUGUACCUGACGCUGAUACUCGAAAGCUAGGGGAGCAAACAGG
rnacentral:rRNA from 1 species